rnacentral:rRNA from 1 species
AUUGAACGCUGGCGGAAUGCUUUACACAUGCAAGUCGAGCGGCAGCGCGGGGGCAACCCUGGCGGCGAGCGGCGAACGGGUGAGUAACAUAUCGGAACGUACCCCGUCGUGGGGGAUAACACAGCGAAAGCUGUGCUAAUACCGCAUACGACCUGAGGGUGAAAGCGGGGGAUCGCAAGACCUCGCGCGAUGGGAGCGGCCGAUAUCGGAUUAGCUUGUUGGUGAGGUAAAGGCUCACCAAGGCGACGAUCCGUAGCUGGUCUGAGAGGACGACCAGCCACACUGGAACUGAGACACGGUCCAGACUCCUACGGGAGGCAGCAGUGGGGAAUUUUGGACAAUGGGGGGCAACCCUGAUCCAGCCAUUCCGCGUGAGUGAAGAAGGCCUCGGUUGUAAG